AUGCUUACUCCUAUAGCACAUAUACUAACGUUGGAACAAUACAGAGAAGAUUAGCAUGGCCCCUGCACAAGGAUGCAUGCAAAUUUGUGAAGCAUUACAUAAUUUU
ensembl:snRNA U6 spliceosomal RNA